UACGGAGGGUGCAAGCGUUAUCCGGAUUCACUGGGUUUAAAGGGUGCGUAGGUGGGUCUGUAAGUCAGUGGUGAAAUCUCCAAGCUUAACUUGGAAACUGCCAUUGAUACUAUGGGUCUUGAAUAUCCUGGAGGUGAGCGGAAUAUGUCAUGUAGCGGUGAAAUGCUUAGAUAUGACAUAGAACACCAAUGCGAAGGCAGCUCACUACGGGAUUAUUGACACUGAGGCACGAAAGCGUGGGGGAGUCAAA
rnacentral:rRNA from 1 species